CUAGCAUUAUCCCGUUUUUCACAGGGUCCGCUUACCUAACCUGAAGAUUUGACAGGUCCGGUUUUUUACAGAAGCGACUGCCUGUCUGACCUUCCAACCCGUAGGGUAAACCAGCCCAAAUAGGUUAGGUGACAUACAAGUUAUUUCAACGAAAACGAAUGAAAUCUUUAAUUGAAAUAUUAUUAAAUUGCUGCAUGAUCAAUAAGUCCGUCUGCUGUUCUUUCUAUGUCUAUUGUCUUUUUUUUCUGUAUUUGGUGUCCAUUGUGCUCAAUCAAGUAUUUUAUCUAUCUAUCUUUUAUACAAAACUGUUGAGUCAAAGUUUCGAGGUAUGUCGCCAAACCUGUCGGUAAGUCAGACAGGCAGUCGCUUCUGUAAAACACCGGAUCUGUCAAAUCUUCUGGUUAGAUAAGCAGACCCUGUGAAAAACGGAAUAAUGCUAGGGAGAUGAUGACAUAGUCACAAUGAUUCCAUGUAGAUUUGGUAGAUACUCGCGAUGCCAGCGCAUCUCGGAUUUGUUUCGUGGCACAGACUACGAAAAGUUUAGUUAAGAUUGAAAGGUAUACUUGAAUGUGAUAUUGUAUGAAUAUUGUGCUAAUUAUGUCUUGUUGUAAAUAUGCGUUAUUGUAUGUACCUAAUGUAUGGUUAUAUGAUCAUGAAUAUUUGUCUUCAGAAAUAAAAUUGAAUUUUCUAA